UUUAAUGAGAGUUUGAUCCUGGCUCAGGACGAACGCUGGCGGCGUGCCUAAUACAUGCAAGUAGAACGCUGAAGGAGGAGCUUGCUUCUCUGGAUGAGUUGCGAACGGGUGAGUAACGCGUAGGUAACCUGCCUGGUAGCGGGGGAUAACUAUUGGAAACGAUAGCUAAUACCGCAUAAUAGUAGAUGUUGCAUGACAUUUGCUUAAAAGAUGCAAUUGCAUCACUACCAGAUGGACCUGCGUUGUAUUAGCUAGUUGGUGGGGUAACGGCUCACCAAGGCGACGAUACAUAGCCGACCUGAGAGGGUGAUCGGCCACACU
rnacentral:rRNA from 1 species